GAUGAACGCUGGCGGCGUGCCUAAUACAUGCAAGUCGAGCGAACGGACGAGAAGCUUGCUUCUCUGAUGUUAGCGGCGGACGGGUGAGUAACACGUGGAUAACCUACCUAUAAGACUGGGAUAACUUCGGGAAACCGGAGCUAAUACCGGAUAAUAUUUUGAACCGCAUGGUUCAAAAGUGAAAGACGGUCUUGCUGUCACUUAUAGAUGGAUCCGCGCUGCAUUAGCUAGUUGGUAAGGUAACGGCUUACCAAGGCAACGAUGCAUAGCCGACCUGAGAGGGUGAUCGGCCACACUGGAACUGAGACACGGUCCAGACUCCUACGGGAGGCAGCAGUAGGGAAUCUUCCGCAAUGGGCGAAAGCCUGACGGAGCAACGCCGCGUGAGUGAUGAAGGUCUUCGGAUCGUAAAACUCUGUUAUUAGGGAAGAACAUAUGUGUAAGUAACUGUGCACAUCUUGACGGUACCUAAUCAGAAAGCCACGGCUAACUACGUGCCAGCAGCCGCGGUAAUACGUAGGUGGCAAGCGUUAUCCGGAAUUAUUGGGCGUAAAGCGCGCGUAGGCGGUUUUUUAAGUCUGAUGUGAAAGCCCACGGCUCAACCGUGGAGGGUCAUUGGAAACUGGAAAACUUGAGUGCAGAAGAGGAAAGUGGAAUUCCAUGUGUAGCGGUGAAAUGCGCAGAGAUAUGGAGGAACACCAGUGGCGAAGGCGACUUUCUGGUCUGUAACUGACGCUGAUGUGCGAAAGCGUGGGGAUCAAACAGGAUUAGAUACCCUGGUAGUCCACGCCGUAAACGAUGAGUGCUAAGUGUUAGGGGGUUUCCGCCCCUUAGUGCUGCAGCUAACGCAUUAAGCACUCCGCCUGGGGAGUACGACCGCAAGGUUGAAACUCAAAGGAAUUGACGGGGACCCGCACAAGCGGUGGAGCAUGUGGUUUAAUUCGAAGCAACGCGAAGAACCUUACCAAAUCUUUACAUCCUUUGACAACUCUAGAGAUAGAGCCUUCCCCUUCGGGGGACAAAGUGACAGGUGGUGCAUGGUUGUCGUCAGCUCGUGUCGUGAGAUGUUGGGUUAAGUCCCGCAACGAGCGCAACCCUUAAGCUUAGUUGCCAUCAUUAAGUUGGGCACUCUAAGUUGACUGCCGGUGACAAACCGGAGGAAGGUGGGGAUGACGUCAAAUCAUCAUGCCCCUUAUGAUUUGGGCUACACACGUGCUACAAUGGACAAUACAAAGGGCAGCGAAACCGCGAGGUCAAGCAAAUCCCAUAAAGUUGUUCUCAGUUCGGAUUGUAGUCUGCAACUCGACUACAUGAAGCUGGAAUCGCUAGUAAUCGUAGAUCAGCAUGCUACGGUGAAUACGUUCCCGGGUCU
rnacentral:rRNA from 1 species